GAGAGAGAGAGGGAGGACCGACGGUCGAAGACUCGGACCGCCGGUCAGUCUCUUUGUCCGGUGGUCGACAUCAAAAGUCCGGCGAGAGAGGCGGAGUUAGGCGGCGGUGACUGUGGUCCGACAAGUUCUCCGAGUCGGAGGUGACCGACUGUGGCAGCCGACGGCAACUUCUGUGAUGGUGGUGGCGGCUCAGGUCAAACACGGGUCAGACGGGUCUUGUUUCAAGUUUCGGGUCUUGGUUCGAGUCCACUCGAUUAAACCGAGUUAACUCGGUUCAGUUUCAGAAGCCGUACGGGUUGACUCGGUCAACUCAGCUUACGGGUCAACUCGGUCCGGGUCAACAGUGGUCAACAAGAUCAGACCAGGUGACGUUUCGGGUUCGGGACUCGGUUCGGUUCAGGUCAACGAUACGGUUCAAGUCGACCCGGUUAAACCGAGCUCAUUCGGUUCGGGUCUUGGUCAAAGGCAGUCAACAAGUCAACGACUCGGGUCAAUUCAGUCA